GAAGAUCCAUUUCUAAACAGGUAAACAUCGUUUUGAAGAAUGAUGUGGGGAGAAUGCAGGUUGAGAAUGCAGGUUGACUUGAGGUUGAUGUUUUCAUAACUUGCACAGUCUCUUCCAUUAAUUGCCAAGAAAUCAGACAUAAUGCUACUCUGACCCAUGCCUGCUAUUACGAUCCUUGAUUGCCAGCCACCAGCCUAUCGACCUUGCAUUACUGCGUUUGAUGUGAGUUCGGACACUAGUGCAUACUCUGUGCUUCCCAGGUAGUAAAGAAUUCUGGCCCAGAUUUGGCACAAAUCUGGCACAUCAGGCAUUCAUCUGGCACUGGCAUACAGCAUGUGGGCCAAACAUGGUUCAGGUUUGGCAGAGGUGGCACCGUCUUGAAGGCGGCAGACAAGACAUGGGCCAGAUGUCAAAUGUAGUAUUUGGCCCAGAUGUUCAAAACUGAUCUGUGGCCCACAUAAGGUUGGCCUUUCUGGUACCACAUUUAAAAUACAUAAAAAUAUUUUUUCGAGUAAAAAAAUAUUUCAAUACGCAGUCAUUCCAUCUUCCGCUUGCAUCUUCUAAUGCCUUUAUUUUAAUCUAGGAAACAAUCAAGAUUGAAUUAUUUGAAUUAAUCUAUUCCUUUCUUGUAUGUUGCAACUAAAUUUACCCUACAUUACAUAUUUUUUUUAUUAUUCAAAUUAUUAUUUUGCUAAUUAUAUUAUUAUUAACCAAUGAUGAUAUACCAUACAAACGGGAGUGUUAAAAUGUUAAGUCAAUUGUUUUUGUGCUGCUUGUCUCAUGCACAAACACCAGAAAAAAUUCAAAAAUCCAAAUCUACCAAUCAGGUUGCUUUGAGUAAAAGCGCGCCCGUAGCGCGCCUAAUGCGCAAUGCUUUAUGGGUUUAUCAAUAUGAUAUUGCAGUCAUGACCAUUGGACGGGCAGCCGCUUGUACACACUUCACAAACGGUCAUGGAUCUAACUGGAGCAAGGCAUUUUGGUGGUACAAAAGACCAGAGUAAAGCCACGAUGUUUCACAUUGUUGUUUUUGACAAAACUAAUGAGGUAGAAGUUGUGCCUUCCAUCUGGAUUAAAAAUGGAGAGUGCUUGUGGCCUCCAAAUAAAACUGAUAUAGCCAAAGCUGUCAGAUUGCAAGAUUGUCCUGGAGACGAAUGGAAAGCCCAUAAGGCCAGAAUUAUCUUCACUUCACAUGACUACAAUGAAGCAAGACGAAAAUUACCCCAAGCUGUUGAACAGACUGAUGUUGGAAGUGAUGAGGGGAACUAACCACGUGCUUUUAAAAGAAAAAGAAUGCCUAAAAACAAUCUAUUGCCUGGGGAGGAUGAUUCAGAGACAGAAAGCAUUGUGAAAGAAAAAAAGUCAAAAAAAAGGAAAAUAUUCAUUGCCCAAUGCUCCAAAAAUCAUCAAGCAGCACAAAACUUUAGCAGUAAACCCAGUAAAGGAAAACAGUCCAGGGUUCAACCCAACAGGCCGCAUCACUGCUGUUUGUCACUAUGAUGACAUGGAAGGCAGCGUGGAAGGAACAAAGUCACAAAACAGAAACUUUUCAUUGCCCAAUGCUAGGAGUAUUGCUAGAUAGGACAACACUAAUGAGUUAGAACCAGGAAAGCAAAGCAGCCCCAAGCUCCAAGUACUCAAUCAAACCACUCCUUCCCACCACCUAAAGGGCCACAUCACUUCUUACGACUAUGAAAGAGGCCACAGCAGUCCUGAGCUUUUUCCAAGUGAUGAUAGUACUCCUGAGCUUUACUUAAAAGGGCACAGCACUCCUAAACUUUACUCAAGAGGCUGCAGCAGUCCUAAUCUCUACUCCGGAGGCCAUAGCAGUGAUCACUUUUACCCAAGAGGACACAACAGCCAAAAGCUCCACACAAGUCAGCACCAUGGAACUAAUAAGUCAUCUUCAAGGCAUAACAGCAAUAAGAUCCACACAUCAAGCACUGAGGUGGCUAGACCAAGUCAUGUUGGCAGUAAAAUUCAUAGAUCAAGCCAUGUUAGCACUAAGAUUCACGGACAAAGCCACUCUGCACCUUCUACAGUCACAUCAAAGCACACUGAGCCACCCCAGACCAGAGAGCAGACAUCAAAUCUGCAAACAUCCCUUCUGCGUAAUAUAUUAACAAAGCAGGAAAUGAUGAUGGACCAACUUUGAAUCAACUUUAAGACGCUGCAGAGUAUGAAACCAACUGAAGAGGCAGAGGCAGUCCUGGAUCGAAACUUGCUGCCAAUAAAAGAUGUUGGUUCUCUGGAAGACAUUGAGGAACAACUACGUAGUAAUCCUGACCUCCAGAAACAGUUGGUAAACAAAUUGGCUCUCAAAGGUGGGGUGGACCUUCAUGAGUGCAUAUGGAGAAUUAUGCAUGGACUGAUGACAAACUCUUUAGCCAGAAAAAUAAACAUGCGGGGAAUCAAUGGAAAGAUUGGAUUCCAGAGCUUACAUUUACGAAAUGUUGUUAUUGAGGCUGUGAGACGAAACUGCCUGACAUCUGAAGCCUCAGAAAAAGACAUUGACUCAACCAUCAAAAGAUGGCUAUAUCUGGCCCCGGAUAGGGAUGGUGGCAGGAAAGAGAGACAAAAGCGAAAGGAGAAUCAGGAGAAAACUGGUUAAAGAACUUGCUUAUAUGGGAUUUGCAACUUAAAAGAGAGCAAAAUGCUGUGUGUUCUGAUGUUAAAGAUUUACAGUAUGCUGAUUUUUCUUGUUUUGUCAUGUUUUCUUAAAUGUGAAAUAAUAAAUAUUGUUCAGAACAGUCAUUGUUGUGAUUUGAUCUGGGAAGGGUUUAGUUUGG